ensembl:lncRNA
CGGAAAGAACGGAAAGAACGGAAAGAACGGAAAGAACGGAAAGAACGGAAAGAACGGAAAGAACCUCCACAGAGACAGAAACACAGGGCAGAAAAUUAGGUGACAGUUCGGAAAGAACAGAAAGAACCUCCACAUAGACAGAAACAUAGGGCAGAAAAUUAGGUGACAGUUCAAAAAGAACGGAAAGAACGGAAAGAACCUCCACAGAGACUGAAACACGGGGCAGGAAAUUAGGUGACAGUUCAAAAACAACAAAAGGAACGGAAAGAACGGAAAGAACCUCCACAGAGACAGAAACAUAGAACAGAAAAUUAGGUGACAGUUCAAAAACAACAACAGAAAGAACGGAAAGAACGGAAAGAACCUCCACAGAGACAGAAACAUAGGGCAGAAAAUUAGGUGACAGGUCAAAAACAACAAAAAGAACGGAAAGAACGGAAAGAACGGAAAGAACGGAAAGAACGGAAAGAACGGAAAGAACGGAAAGAACCUCCACAGAGACAGAAACAUUGGGCAGAAAAUUAGGUGACAGUUCAAAAAGAACGGAAAGAACGGAAAGAACCUCCACAGAGACUGAAACACGGGGCAGGAAAUUAGGUGACAGUUCGGAAAGAACAGAAAGAACCUCCACAGAGACAGAAACAUAGGGCAGAAAAUUAGGUGACAGUUCAAAAACAACAACAGAAAGAACGGAAAGAACGGAAAGAACGGAAGAACCUCCACAGAGACAGAAACAUAGGGCAGAAAAUUAGGUGACACUUCAAAAACAACAACAGAAAGAACGGAAAGAACGGAAAGAACCUCCACAGAGACAGAAACAUAGGGCAGAAAAUUAGGUGACAGUUCAAAAACAACAAGAGAAAGAACGGAAAGAACGGAACGAACCUCCACAGAGACAGAAACAUAGGGCAGAAAAUUAGGUGACAGUUUAAAAGCAACAACAGAAAGAACGGAAAGAACGGAAAGAACUCCACAGAGACAGAAACAUAGGGCAGAAAAUUAGGUGACAGUUCAAAAACAACAACAGAAAGAACGUAAAGAACGGAAAGAACCUCCACAGAGACAGAAACAUAAAGCACAAAAUUAGGUGACACUUCAAAAACAACAACAGAAAGAACGGAAAGAACCUCCACAGAGACAGAAACAUAGGGCAGAAAAUUAGGUGACAGUUCAAAAACAAUAACAGAAAGAACGGAAAGAAUGGAACGAACCUCCACAGAGACAGAAACAUAGGGCAUAAAAUUAGGUGACAGUUCAAAAACAACAACGGAAAGAACGGAAAGAACGGAAAGAACGGAAAGAACGGAAAGAACGGAAAGAACGGAAAGAACGGAAAGAACGGAAAGAACGGAAAGAACGGAAAGAACGGAAAGAACGGAAAGAACCUCCACAGA